GCGGUUCGCCGCUCGUGACUCUGCGAGAAGUCCAUUGAACCUUAUCAUUUAGAGGAAGGAGAAGUCGUAACAAGGUUUCCGUAGGUGAACCUGCGGAAGGAUCAUUG
rnacentral:rRNA from 1 species